UGGGGAAUCUUAGACAAUGGGCGCAAGCCUGAUCUAGCCAUGCCGCGUGUGUGAUGAAGGUCUUAGGAUCGUAAAGCACUUUCGCCAGGGAUGAUAAUGACAGUACCUGGUAAAGAAACCCCGGCUAACUCCGUGCCAGCAGCCGCGGUAAUACGGAGGGGGUUAGCGUUGUUCGGAAUUACUGGGCGUAAAGCGUACGUAGGCGGAUUGGAAAGUUGGGGGUGAAAUCCCAGGGCUCAACCCUGGAACUGCCUCCAAAACUAUCAGUCUAGAGUUCGAGAGAGGUGAGUGGAAUUCCAAGUGUAGAGGUGAAAUUCGUAGAUAUUUGGAGGAACACCAGUGGCGAAGGCGGCUCACUGGCUCGAUACUGACGCUGAGGUACGAAAGUGUGGGGAGCAAACAGGAUUAGAUACCCUGGUAGUCCACACCGUAAACGAUGAAUGCCAGUCGUCGGGCAGUAUACUGUUCGGUGACACACCUAACGGAUUAAGCAUUCCGCCUGGGGAGUACGGUCGCAG
rnacentral:rRNA from 1 species